rnacentral:ncRNA from 1 species
UUCGCUGAUUUACUUCAAACCUGUUGUGAGGUAAGUUAACGACGCCUUUAACCACGCUGUUUGCUGAGCUUGACUCCGGGCAGUGUGGCUAUUUU